rnacentral:rRNA from 1 species
UAUCUCUGUAGAGUCUGCAUAUCAAUAAGCGGAGGAAAAGAAACUAACUAGGAUUCCCUCAGUAACGGCGAGUGAAGCGGGAAGAGCUCAAAUUUGAAAUCUUCAAGGUUCUACCUUGACGAAUUGUAGUUUAAAGAAGUGUUUUCUGUUGGAGUUUUGGUAAAAGUUCUUUGGAAUAGGACAUCAUAGAGGGUGAGAAUCCCGUAUUUGACCAUUAUUUCCAGCUUUGUGAUACACUUUCAAAGAGUCGGAUUGUUUGGGAAUGCAGUCCAAAAUGGGUGGUAAAUUUCAUCUAAAGCUAAAUAUUGGCGAGAGACCGAUAGCGAACAAGUACCGUGAGGGAAAGAUGAAAAGAACUUUGAAAAGAGAGUUAAACAGUACGUGAAAUUGUCAAAAGGGAAGCGUUUGACACCAGUGUUGUUUUUUCCGAAAAUCAAUUACAAAUGGCAGUGAUUCUGUGUUGUAUUGACCUUAUCAGCUUUCUGCACUCUUUUUCUAGUCUUUCUUAAUGCACUUUUCGUUUAACAAGUCAACAUCAAUUUCUUUUGUUGUAAAAGGGUAUUCGGAAGGUGGCUUUCUUUUCGGAGAAAGUGUUUAUAGCCCUAUACUUCUACAAUCGGAGAGAUUGAGGUCUGCAGCGUAGAUCCUUCGGGGUUAGAUACACUUGUGCUAAGUUGUAGCUUUUCAUAGACAACUUGUUGACUAUGUUUAGUCAUGCGGCUUACUCGCUUGUGCUAUUUUACCUACGCUUAGGAUGUUGAAGAUGUAGCACAUCAU